UGAGGAUGGGGUCUGGAGAGGGAGCGAGGGGGCGCGGGUGAGGGAGGAGAGCCAAGUGAAGGUUUGCUCAGGGUAGGUUCUGGCUGUUGGUUUUAUAACUAAAAAUAUUUGCAGCUAAAGAUCAGUAAUUACUAUGUAGAUGUUCGUGUAAAACCGACAGUUGGCUUUUAUGGGACCCUUUAGGCUAAGUGAAACUCAAUGUAGCAAACUUGCUCUUCAUCCCGUAUAAAAUGUUCCUUCGUUUUACAAAACCCCUCUCUUUAGUCUAAGUAAAAAUCAGGAGUGAAAUCAUAAUUGUGCUAAAUUUUCGUUAGCAUUUUCCAAGACUUACUUAUCACCAGGAUAAACUCAGUUUUAACUUCAAAAAAACUCAACUUGUGUGCAGAUCCCCAUAUCCAAAGAAAAAUAUUGGAACUAAGCUGUGAGGGCUAGAGUCUUCCUUUGUGACCACAUAGCAGUUGUGGAUGAAUGGACAGAUACAAAAUGACGAAUUCUUUUUCUAGCUAUAAGCUCAAAGACUUCUUCAAUACAUUGAUGAAUUUAUUCUCCUUAACUUUUUGGCACUUUUUAUUAGUGCUCAGACUGAAGAAGUUAAGGACUUUGCCCUCGAAGAUCUUCUUCAGGCCACAACUGCUAUCUGUUAAAUAAAGGAUUUGACAAUUUUGAA